rnacentral:rRNA from 1 species
CAGCCGCCACGGGAAUACGGAGGGUGCAAGCGUUAUCCGGAUUUAUUGGGUUUAAAGGGUCCGUAGGCGGACUUAUAAGUCAGUGGUGAAAGCCUGUCGCUUAACGAUAGAACUGCCAUUGAUACUGUAAGUCUUGAGUAUAUUUGAGGUAGCUGGAAUAAGUAGUGUAGCGGUGAAAUGCAUAGAUAUUACUUAGAACACCAAUUGCGAAGGCAGGUUACCAAGAUAUAACUGACGCUGAGGGACGAAAGCGUGGGUAGCGAACAGGAUUAGAUACCCGCGUAGUCCCUGUCUCUUAUAC